GAUUUUCUGGAGCAGGAACUGCGGGUGGGGAAGUGUGUCAGGGGCAGGAGGCAAGCUCUGUGCACAAGGAGAAGGGCAAUGGCUGGCAGUUUGCAGCACAUGCCGCUCAGUGAGUAACAAAUACGUUCUCAGGUGGCUCACAAGCAGACCAGACAAGCCCUGGUGCUAGUGUAAGGGAAGGACACAUUUAUGAGGACAGAGGGAGAGCGUGACUGCAACAGCUACACCUGACAUCAGCUUAAGAGAUGGGCACCCAGCUCCAUCCGUGAGCAUCACCUGGAGUUCAUCAGCAGAACGUCACUCAGGCUGGCACAGGGAGGGCUGCCUGUGAAUCCCUUUGCUUCUCCAUGUGAAAUGGAAUCACUCAUCCGGAGGACAAAAGUAAUGCUGCUGCUCUGGGAAGAGAGAUUUAGACAUAGGCUAAGUGCACUAAAUGAAGGGAUAAAUGUGACAAGGCUUGCAAUACUGCCAGCCAAAAUCAUUAUAUCACCAAAUUCUUACCACCAAAGUUGUUUUAAACUAUCAGCAUCUGGUCAGUAAAUAAUGGCAUGUGAAGGUCUUAUUAAAAUAAAAGUUUGUGUUUGUGUGGUUAUGGAGAAAAU